rnacentral:rRNA from 1 species
GUCGUGGGGGAUAACUGCUCGAAAGAGCAGCUAAUACCGCAUACGACCUGAGGGUGAAAGCGGGGGAUCUUCGGACCUCGCGCGAUUGGAGCGGCCGAUAUCAGAUUAGGUAGUUGGUGGGGUAAAGGCCUACCAAGCCGACGAUCUGUAGCUGGUCUGAGAGGACGACCAGCCACACUGGGACUGAGACACGGCCCAGACUCCUACGGGAGGCAGCAGUGGGGAAUUUUGGACAAUGGGGGCAACCCUGAUCCAGCCAUGCCGCGUGCGGGAAGAAGGCCUUCGGGUUGUAAACCGCUUUUGUCAGGGAAGAAAUCCUUUGGGCUAAUAACUCGGAGGGAUGACGGUACCUGAAGAAUAAGCACCGGCUAACUACGUGCCAGCAGCCGCGGUAAUACGUAGGGUGCAAGCGUUAAUCGGAAUUACUGGGCGUAAAGCGUGCGCAGGCGGUUAUGCAAGACAGAUGUGAAAUCCCCGGGCUCAACCUGGGAACUGCAUUUGUGACUGCAUGGCUAGAGUACGG